rnacentral:lncRNA from 1 species
GAUGAUGAGGAUGGUGAUGAUGAUGAUGAAGAGGGUGAAGAUGAUGAAGACGAGGAAGAGAAUAAUGAUGACAACUCUUAACCUAUAGAGCACGAUUAACAAGUCACUGACCAUGGUGAUUGGCUAGGUAUUACUCCUGGACAACAUCCAUCUGAUAACCAAGGCUAGGGAGAAUGGAAACACACCGAAUGGACCAGCAACCGAUCAUCCUAUAUGCCUAUACCCUCUUCUCAACCUGAAAAUUCUGAAGUGAUGGAAAUGUUGAGAUACAUG